rnacentral:rRNA from 1 species
UUUUUAUGGAGAGUUUGAUCCUGGCUCAGGAUGAACGCUGGCGGCGUGCCUAAUACAUGCAAGUCGAGCGAACAGAUAAGGAGCUUGCUCCUUUGACGUUAGCGGCGGACGGGUGAGUAACACGUGGAUAACCUACCUAUAAGACUGGGAUAACUUCGGGAAACCGGAGCUAAUACCGGAUAAGAUUUUGAACCGCAUGGUUCAAUAGUGAAAGACGGCCUUGCUGUCACUUAUAGA